UACGGAGGGGGCUAGCGUUGUUCGGAAUUACCGGGCAUAAAGCGCACGUAGGCGGCUUUGUAAGUUAGAGGUGAAAGCCCGGGGCUCAACUCCGGAAUUGCCUUUAAGACUGCAUCGCUCGAAUUGUGGAGAGGUAAGUGGAAUUCCGAGUGUAGAGGUGAAAUUCGUAGAUAUUCGGAAGAACACCAGUGGCGAAGGCGACUUACUGGACACAUAUUGACGCUGAGGUGCGAAAGCGUGGGGAGCAAACAGG
rnacentral:rRNA from 1 species